UGGAGGAAUUUGUCUGUAAUGGAUAAAACACCUAAAUCUUACUAAAAUUUGUUAAAUCAGUUUGUAUACCACUAUUAAAGUAGUAUUUCAUAACUAUUACUUAAAUUUUUUAAAAAAAUAAAUUAAGUCAAGGUGCAGCAAAAGUUUUAGGAUGAAGUGAAUUACAAUUCUUUUUAGUUUUUAAAAUUUUUUUAAAAAAAUUUUAAAAUAGGAUUUGAAAGUAAAAAAUCAAUAGUAUGGCUUU
rnacentral:rRNA from 1 species